UAGGGAAUAUUGGUCAAUGGGCGCAAGCCUGAACCAGCCAUGCCGCGUGAGUGAUGAAGGCCUUCGGGUCGUAAAACUCUUUUCUGAGGGAAGAACAUCCUGCGUAGGAAAUGACGCGGGCUUGACGGUACCUCAGGAAUAAGCAACGGCUAACUCCGUGCCAGCAGCCGCGGUAAUACGGAGGUUGCGAGCGUUGUUCGGAAUCACUGGGCGUAAAGGGAGCGCAGGCGGUUGGGUAAGUCUAAAGUGAAAGCCGGGGCUCAACGCCGGAAGUGCUUUGGAUACUACCCCACUCGAGUUCGGGAGAGGAAAGCGGAAUUCCAGGUGUAGCGGUGAAAUGCGUAGAUAUCUGGAGGAACACCGGUGGCGAAAGCGGCUUUCUGGCACGAUACUGACGCUGAGGCUCGAAAGCGUGGGGAGCAAACA
rnacentral:rRNA from 1 species